GCGACCGCCUAGCGCUGGCGCUCGGCUAGGCGGUGCGCUAGGCGCCAUUGUGGAUAGCCUUAGAGCAUUGCGAUUCCAGUAAGUUCAGCUGAAUUCGGCUUCUCCUCGCUAAUUGCACCUUUGAUUCCAACUUUAUAAUUUCAGUGUAUGAAUUUGCGCUUCUCUGGAACUGGAGAUGAGACCGCAGCGUCUAUCUUCUUAGUUAAGCUUUUAUCUUAGGCUGUUGUUAACUAAGAUUUUAUGUGGUGUUUGAUGAUGGAAAUCUCGGUUUUCUUAUUUCUGCGGAGAGCAAAGCGAAUGCCCAGAGAAAUCCAGAGUUUGCUGGUUGUAUUGUUGUUUGAAUUAGGUCGUGCAUCUGGAUUCAAAGCCUUGAAACCAAAAUCCAGCAAAAGCAUUGCGGCUUGACGAAUGAGAUACAGUAGAUUUUAAAGUCUGAUAGACAUGCCGUUUAUUUAUUAAGAUGAUAAAGUAAUUUGAAGGCGAGGAGCCAAUGUUUGUGUCUCUGUUGCUUAUAUGACAUUUUCCUGAUGACUUCUGCUUUCCCUGUUGUAUUGUUCUUAUCUUAAAAUAAUCCAGAAGAAAACAUUUGAAAACCA